rnacentral:rRNA from 1 species
AUUGAACGCUGGCGGCAGGCCUAACACAUGCAAGUCGAGCGGAUGAAGGGAGCUUGCUCCUGGAUUCAGCGGCGGACGGGCGAGUAAUGCCUAGGAAUCUGCCUGGUAGUGGGGGAUAACGUCCGGAAACGGGCGCUAAUACCGCAUACGUCCUGAGGGAGAAAGUGGGGGAUCUUCGGACCUCACGCUAUCAGAUGAGCCUAGGUCGGAUUAGCUAGUUGGUGGGGUAAAGGCCUACCAAGGCGACGAUCCGUAACUGGUCUGAGAGGAUGAUCAGUCACACUGGAACUGAGACACGGUCCAGACUCCUAAGGGAGGCAGCAGUGGGGAAUAUUGGACAAUGGGCGAAAGCCUGAUCCAGCCAUGCCGCGUGUGUGAAGAAGGUCUUCGGAUUGUAAAGCACUUUAAGUUGGGAGGAAGGGCAGUAAGUUAAUACCUUGCUGUUUUGACGUUACCAACAGAAUAAGCACCGGCUAACUUCGUG